rnacentral:rRNA from 1 species
CGUCCUAGCGGCGAACGGGUGAGUAACACGUGGGCAACCUGCCCUCAGCUCUGGGAUAACUCCGGGAAACCGGGGCUAAUACCGGAUACGACCUCCAAGGGCAUCCGAAGAGGUGGAAAGUUUUUCGGCUGAGGAUGGGCCCGCGGCCUAUCAGCUUGUUGGUGGGGUGACGGCCUACCAAGGCGACGACGGGUAGCCGGCCUGAGAGGGUGACCGGCCACACUGGGACUGAGACACGGCCCAG